AUGAGUGGCCAGCUGAAGAAGACGACCAGGGGCGAGGAAGCCGCGCAGCAGAGAGCGUCGUCUUCGGAAGAACAGCAGCAGGAAAAGAUAAAUGAGGUGCGGGGUCUCCUCGACAGUCUGACGGAGGAGAUGCCGAGUUUUCUGUCGGACGCCACCAUCCGGCGUUUCCUCCGGGCGAGGAGCUGGAGCACGGAGCAGGCAACCAAGUCUCUCAAGGAGACUGUCAAGUGGAGGCGUCAGUACAGGCCGGAUGCAAUUUCCUGGGACGACAUUCCAGAAACGGAGAACGAGGCCCGGAGGACACAUGUGGCCGACUACCUUGACAAGAACGGAAGAAGUGUCCUCGUAGCAAACGUGCCAAUGAAACAGUCUAAAGUUUCAGCAAAGGAGCAGAUAAAGCACCUGGUAUAUCUCCUGGAGUAUCUCGCCACCAACUCAGCGGAUGAACAAGACGACUUCGUCGUUUGGCUGACCGACUUCCGAGGCUGGUCCAUAUCGAGCACGUCACUGUCGAUAGCCCGCGAAUCCAUGCACAUAAUCCAGAACUACUAUCCAGGGGUGAUAGCCGUGGCGAUUCCUUUCGACCCUCCCAGGAUGUUUGAAUCUUUUUGGAAGAUAGCCAAGAACUUCGUGCAGCCAGACAUGAAAGAGAAAGUGAAGUUUGUGUAUGCAAACAAGCCGGAGAGCCUCAAGAUAAUGGCUGACAUCUUUGACUUGGAUACACUGGAGUCUUCGUUUGGAGGAAGAAGCACCGGUACGGCCUUCCACAUCAACAAGUAUGCAGAGAGAAUGAGAAGAGCCGACAAGAUGAGAGGAGCAUCAAAAGAUUCAAAUGGCCACAACCACAACUGA
rnacentral:rRNA from 1 species